rnacentral:rRNA from 1 species
AGGUGUGAUCAUUUCAGCUCUAAUGCAUCGGAUUCCAUCGAAACUUCGAAGUUAAGUGCUUGAGCGAGAAUAGUUCUAAGAUGGGCUUGUCUUAUGACUU